UACGAAGGGGGCUAGCGUUGCUCGGAAUCACUGGGCGUAAAGCGCACGUAGGCGGCUUUCUAAGUCAGGGGUGAAAUCCCGGAGCUCAACUCCGGAACUGCCUUUGAUACUGAAGAUCUUGAGUUCGGGAGAGGUGAGUGGAACUGCGAGUGUAGAGGUGAAAUUCGUAGAUAUUCGCAAGAACACCAGUGGCGAAGGCGGCUCACUGGCCCGAUACUGACGCUGAGGCACGAAAGCGUGGGGAGCAAACAGG
rnacentral:rRNA from 1 species